rnacentral:rRNA from 1 species
AGCGAACGCUGGCGGCAGGCUUAACACAUGCAAGUCGAACGCCCCGCAAGGGCAGUGGCAGACGGGUGAGUAACACGUGGGAACGUACCCUUUGGUUCGGAAUAACUUGGGGAAACUCAAGCUAAUACCGGAUAAGCCCUUAUGGGGAAAGGUUUACUGCCGAAGGAUCGGCCCGCGUCUGAUUAGCGAGUUGGUGAGGUAAUGGCGCACCAAGGCGACGAUCAGUAACUGGUCUGAGAGGAUGAUCAGCCACACUGGGACUGAGACACGGCCCAGACUCCUACGGGAGGCAGCAGUGGGGAAUAUUGGACAAGGGGGGCAGCCCUGAUCCAGCCAUGCCGCGUGAGUGAUGAAGGCCUUAGGGUUGUAAAGCUCUUUUACCCGGGACGAUAAUGACUGUACCGGGAGAAUAAGCCCCGGCUAACUUCGUGCCAGCCGCCGCAGUAA